rnacentral:rRNA from 1 species
CAAGUCGAGCGGUAGAGAGAAGAUUGCUUCUCUUGAGAGCGGCGGACGGGUGAGUAAUGCCUAGGAAUCUGCCUGGUAGUGGGGGAUAACGUUCGGAAACGGACGCUAAUACCGCAUACGUCCUACGGGAGAAAGCAGGGGACCUUCGGCGCCUUGCGCUAUCGGAUGAGCCUAGGUCGGAUUAGCUAGUUGGUGAGGUAAUGGCUCACCAAGAGCGACGAUCCGUAACUGGUCUGAGAGGAUGAUCAGUCACACUGGCACUGAGACACGCUCCAGACUCCUCCGGGAGGCACCAGUGGGGAAUAAUGGUCAAUGGCCGAAAGCCUGAUCCAACCAUCCCGCGUGUGUGAAGAAGGUCUUCGGGUUGUAAAACACUUUAAGUUGGGAGGAAGAGGCAGUUACCUAAUACGUCAUUGUUUUGACGUUACCUGCAGAAUAAGCACCGGCUAACUCUGUGCCAGCAGCCGCGGUAAUACAGAGGGUGCGAGCGUUAAUCGGAAUUACUGGGCGUAAAGCGAGUGUAGGUGGCUCAUUAAGUCACAUGUGAAAUCCCCGGGCUUAACCUGGGAACUGCAUGUGAUACUGGUGUGCAUGAAU